rnacentral:rRNA from 1 species
GGAUGAGUGGAGCUUGCUCCAUGAUUCAGCGGCGGACGGGUGAGUAAUGCCUAGGAAUCUGCCUGGUAGUGGGGGACAACGUUUCGAAAGGAACGCUAAUACCGCAUACGUCCUACGGGAGAAAGUGGGGGAUCUUCGGACCUCACGCUAUCAGAUGAGCCUAGGUCGGAUUAGCUAGUUGGUGAGGUAAAGGCUCACCAAGGCGACGAUCCGUAACUGGUCUGAGAGGAUGAUCAGUCACACUGGAACUGAGACACGGUCCAGACUCCUACGGGAGGCAGCAGUGGGGAAUAUUGGACAAUGGGCGAAAGCCUGAUCCAGCCAUGCCGCGUGUGUGAAGAAGGUCUUCGGAUUGUAAAGCACUUUAAGUUGGGAGGAAGGGCAGUAAGUUAAUACCUUGCUGUUUUGACGUUACCAACAGAAUAAGCACCGGCUAACUUCGUGCCAGCAGCCGCGGUAAUACGAAGGGGCAAGCGUUAAUCGGAAUUACUGGGCGUAAAGCGC